GACGAACGCUGGCGGCGUGCCUAAUACAUGCAAGUAGAACGCUGAAGCUUGGUGCUUGCACCGAGCGGAUGAGUUGCGAACGGGUGAGUAACGCGUAGGUAACCUGCCUGGUAGCGGGGGAUAACUAUUGGAAACGAUAGCUAAUACCGCAUAAGAGUAGAUGUUGCAUGACAUUUGCUUAAAAGGUGCAAUUGCAUCACUACCAGAUGGACCUGCGUUGUAUUAGCUAGUUGGUGAGGUAACGGCUCACCAAGGCAACGAUACAUAGCCGACCUGAGAGGGUGAUCGGCCACACUGGGACUGAGACACGGCCCAGACUCCUACGGGAGGCAGCAGUAGGGAAUCUUCGGCAAUGGACGGAAGUCUGACCGAGCAACGCCGCGUGAGUGAAGAAGGUUUUCAGAUCGUAAAGCUCUGUUGUAAGAGAAGAACGAGUGUGAGAGUGGAAAGUUCACACUGUGACGGUAUCUUACCAGAAAGGGACGGCUAACUACGU
rnacentral:rRNA from 1 species